CCUACGGGAGGCAGCAGUCGGGAAUUUUGGGCAAUGGGCGAAAGCCUGACCCAGCAACGCCGCGUGAAGGAUGAAGUCUUUCGGGAUGUAAACUUCGUAAGAAUGGGAAGAAUCAAUGACGGUACCAUUUGUAAGGUCCGGCUAACUACGUGCCAGCAGCCGCGGUAAUACGUAGGGACCAAGCGUUGUUCGGAUUUACUGGGCGUAAAGGGCGCGUAGGCGGCGUGUCAAGUCAAUUGUGAAAUCUCCGGGCUUAACUCGGAACGGUCAAUUGAUACUGAUGUGCUAGAGUACAGAAGGGGCAAUCGGAAUUCUUGGUGUAGCGGUGAAAUGCGUAGAUAUCAAGAGGAACACCUGAGGUGAAGACGGGUUGCUGGGCUGAUACUGACGCUGAGGCGCGAAAGCUAGGGUAGCAAACGGGAUUAGAUACCCGUGUAGUC
rnacentral:rRNA from 1 species